UACAGAGGUGGCGUGGGAUGUUCGGAAUUACUGGGCGUAAAGGGCGCGUAGGCGGCCUCUUAAGUCAGACGUGAAAUCCCCCGGCUCAACCGGGGAACUGCGUCUGAGACUGGGAGGCUCGAAUCCGGGAGAGGGAUGUGGAAUUCCAGGUGUAGCGGUGAAAUGCGUAGAUAUCUGGAGGAACACCGGUGGCGAAGGCGGCAUCCUGGACCGGCAUUGACGCUGAGGCGCGAAAGCCAGGGGAGCAAACGGG
rnacentral:rRNA from 1 species